rnacentral:rRNA from 1 species
CCUACGGGAGGCAGCAGUGGGGGAUAUUGCACAAUGGGGGGAACCCUGAUGCAGCGACGCCGCGUGUGGGAAGACGGUCCUCUGGAUUGUAAACCACUGUCCCCAGGGACGAAACUGACGGUACCGGGUGAGGAAGCUCCGGCUAACUACGUGCCAGCAGCCGCGGUAAUACGUAGGGAGCGGGCGUUGUCCGGAAUUACUGGGGGAAAGGGGAGCGUAGGCGGGGAUGCAAGUUGAGUGUCAAAACUACCGGUUCAACUGGUAGUCGCACUCAAAACUGCAGCUUUUGAGUGAAGUAGAGGCAGGCGGAAUUCCUGGUGUAGCGGUGAAAUGCGUAGAUAUUAGAAGGAACACCAGUGGCGAAGGCGGCCUGCUGGGCUUUUACUGACGCUGAGGCUCGAAAGUGUGGGGAGCAAACAGGAUUAGAUACCCCAGUAGUC